rnacentral:tRNA from 1 species
GGCAGCAUGGCUCAGUGGAGAGAGCCCUGACUGGGGAAUCAGAGGUCCCGGGUUCGAAUCCCGGCUCUGCCU